CAUCCUCUGUGCUGCUCAGACUGCAGUUUCUGUUCCAGGAUCUUCAUCCAAACAAGAGUUCUGAGCUCAUUUCUGAUUGUGAGAAAUCAACAUGAAUCUCUGUUUUACAGUGGCUGCUCUGCUUAUAGCAGCUUGUCUGUUUGUGCCCUCUAUACAUGCAAUUCCUCCUGACUGUCCAUAUCCUCCAGGGCGUUGUUUUCCGUGCGGCAUCUUCAACCCAUGCAAACCUCGUAGAUGCUGCCGCAAUGGAUGUGGUGAUUACAGAUGCAUACCACCAUUUCCAGCUUAGCACAAACUUUGUGGAAAACAUCUGUUCAUUCCUCACUGUCAUGAUGAUAAUGAUGGUGAAUGCAGCUGCAAGAAGUGCUCUCUAAACAGAUGUGAAGACACCUCUACAUACAGUCCUGUAUGCUCUUCUUUGGUUUCUUUAAUAAAAUCAUAAUGACACAAACUCAGUGUAUUGUUUAUGUGAGCUUCUGCUUUGGUACAUUUUCUUUAGGAUGCCAAUUUGUCAAACUAUGUUUCAAAGGUGUUUUGGUAUUUUUACCAUUUAAUAACAGAAUCACAAUCACUUGAAUGUCAUCACAUCAACAAAUCAUUCAUAGUGAUCUACAAAUGCAUACUGUGAGUUUUGGUUCUCUGUUCUGCAUGUAUGCAACAAAUGCAGAUGGCAUUUUUGUUGUUAUCAAUAAAAAUAAUUAAAAUUG